rfam:Puccinia sorghi strain RO10H11247 Scaffold_984, whole genome shotgun sequence.
UCCGAGUUAGUAUAUCGGCUAGUAUAUCCGCUUUUCAAGCUCAGAUCGCGGAGGAGACGGGUUCGAUUCCCGUACUCGGAA